rnacentral:rRNA from 1 species
AAAUUGAAGAGUUUGAUCAUGGCUCAGAUUGAACGCUGGCGGCAGGCCUAACACAUGCAAGUCGAACGGUAACAGGAAGCAGCUUGCUGCUUUGCUGACGAGUGGCGGACGGGUGAGUAAUGUCUGGGAAACUGCCUGAUGGAGGGGGAUAACUACUGGAAACGGUGGCUAAUACCGCAUAACGUCGCAAGACCAAAGAGGGGGACCUUCGGGCCUCUUGCCAUCAGAUGUGCCCAGAUGGGAUUAGCUUGUUGGUGAGGUAACGGCUCACCAAGGCGACGAUCCCUAGCUGGUCUGAGAGGAUGACCAGCCACACUGGAACUGAGACACGGUCCAGACUCCUACGGGAGGCAGCAGUGGGGAAUAUUGCACAAUGGGCGCAAGCCUGAUGCAGCCAUGCCGCGUGUAUGAAGAAGGCCUUCGGGUUGUAAAGUACUUUCAGCGGGGAGGAAGGUGUUGCGGUUAAUAACCGCAGCAAUUGACGUUACCCGCAGAAGAAGCACCGGCUAACUCCGUGCCAGCAGCCGCGGUAAUACGGAGGGUGCAAGCGUUAAUCGGAAUUACUGGGCGUAAAGCGCACGCAGGCGGUCUGUCAAGUCGGAUGUGAAAUCCCCGGGCUCAACCUGGGAACUGCAUUCGAAACUGGCAGGCUUGAGUCUUGUAGAGGGGGGUAGAAUUCCAGGUGUAGCGGUGAAAUGCGUAGAGAUCUGGAGGAAUACCGGUGGCGAAGGCGGCCCCCUGGACAAAGACUGACGCUCAGGUGCGAAAGCGUGGGGAGCAAACAGGAUUAGAUACCUUGGUAGUCCACGCCGUAAACGAUGUCUACUUGGAGGUUGUGCCCUUGAGGCGUGGCUUCCGGAGCUAACGCGUUAAGUAGACCGCCUGGGGAGUACGGCCGCAAGGUUAAAACUCAAAUGAAUUGACGGGGGCCCGCACAAGCGGUGGAGCAUGUGGUUUAAUUCGAUGCAACGCGAAGAACCUUACCUGGUCUUGACAUCCACAGAACU